UAAAUCUUAUUUAUUUUGUUUAGAAAAGAAUGAAUCCACAUUAUAUUAUUUUAGAAGGGUUUGUAAUAAAAGAGAAGGUUUUAAAGUAGAGAAUGCUAGUAGUAUUUGAAUCAUGGUAGUGAUGGAGGCGGGAAUGGGCUUUUGCUUAUCAACAUGUGGACUUUACUCCCUCCCACCAACACACCAAACGUCCCUGAUAACUCCCAAGAGUCAGAACUCAGAACUCAAGACCCGAAGCAACAACAGGCACUUUUUCCUUUGGAACGGGACGGCGAGUAGCGUGACUUUUUUGCUUCCAGCCCGAAUUUCGCCACGAACAGCCCAUCGACAUGGCACCGAAAAAGAUUUGCGUUAUCGGCUCUGGAAACUGGGGAUCCGCUAUCGCGAUGAUCGUCGGCACAAACGCGAUGAAGGCCCUCAACACGUUCAACCAGACGGUCAACAUGUACGUCUACGAGGAAAUAGUCGACGGACAGAAGCUGAGCGACAUCAUCAACAACGAACACGAAAACGUCAAGUACCUGCCAGGGAGGAAAUUGCCAGCAAACGUUGUUGCAGUACCCUCACUUGAAAAUGCUGCAAUGGAUGCUGACAUUCUCAUCUUUGUGAUUCCACAUCAAUAUGUUAAAACAAUAUGCACGUGUUUGAGUGGACUAGUCAAGCCGACAACAAUCGCCAUCUCCCUGAUAAAGGGAUUUGAAAAGACUGAAUCGGGCAGUAUCGAGCUCAUUUCACACUUAAUACACGAUAUGCUCAAAAUAGAAGUGUGUGUACUGAUGGGGGCAAACCUAGCAAAUGAAGUCGCAGACGGGCAGUUCUGCGAGACAACCAUUGGCUGCAAGAACAGAAAAUACAAUGGAAUGUUAAAAGAACUUUUCGAAACACCAUUCUUCAGAGUUAGCAUUGUCGAUGAUGCUGAGACAGUUGAAAUUUGCGGUGCCUUGAAAAACAUCGUUGCUUGCGCUGCUGGGUUUUGCGAUGGAUUGCUACUAGGAGACAAUACAAAGGCUGCAAUCAUUAGACUGGGUCUUAUGGAAAUGAUCAGCUUUGUCAACUUGUUCCACUCGACCUCGCGCCUUUCAACGUUCUUUGAAAGCUGUGGUAUUGCUGAUCUUGUCACCACUUGUUACGGUGGGCGUAACAGGAGGAUUGCCGAGGCUUUUGUCAAAUCAGCGAAACCCCUGGCGGUUUUGGAACGAGACAUGCUGAAUGGGCAAAAGUUGCAAGGGCCAAUCACUGCAGAAGAGGUCAACGUGUUCCUCAAAUAUAAAAAUGCUGAGGAAAGGUUCCCACUUUUCACAACCGUUCACAAGAUCUGCAUAGGUACCAUCAAGGCAGAAAAACUUGUUGACUCCCUUAGAGACCACCCUGUUCACCAGCUUGGCUUGAAAAGCAAUUUGUAAGCCUGGAUUUGACCUCCAACUUGCAAACACCAAAGAGGUAGAGCGUGCGAGUUAUUAACAAGCUGAAAAUGAAGUUGUACCGUUCCUGAAUCAUAGGAACCAAAAGGAAAGUGCCAUCAAAACAAGAAGAAAAUAUAAUAAAAAUUGUAAGACUAAGAAAAAUGUUUUAUCAUAUUGUUUUCAAUUAGAUGUUAGUACUUUAGUUAGACCUGAUCUAAGUCUAUCUUGCUUCUUCAAUAUGACUUUUACAGAAAAGUUUAUCACUUAUACAAUAACAAAUGUGUAUAUUACAUGUACUGAGAAAAUCUGCUAUAUUAGCAUUCUGAUUUUUA
rnacentral:misc_RNA from 1 species